rnacentral:rRNA from 1 species
GCACAGCGGGCUUGCCUAAUACUGCAAGUCGAGCGAGCUUGCCUAGAUGAUUUUAGUGCUUGCACUAAAUGAAACUAGAUACAAGCGAGCGGCGGACGGGUGAGUAACACGUGGGUAACCUGCCCAAGAGACUGGGAUAACACCUGGAAACAGAUGCUAAUACCGGAUAACAACACUAGACGCAUGUCUAGAGUUUGAAAGAUGGUUCUGCUAUCACUCUUGGAUGGACCUGCGGUGCAUUAGCUAGUUGGUAAGGUAACGGCUUACCAAGGCAAUGAUGCAUAGCCGAGUUGAGAGACUGAUCGGCCACAUUGGGACUGAGACACGGCCCAAACUCCUACGGGAGGCAGCAGUAGGGAAUCUUCCACAAUGGACGAAAGUCUGAUGGAGCAACGCCGCGUGAGUGAAGAAGGGUUUCGGCUCGUAAAGCUCUGUUGGUAGUGAAGAAAGAUAGAGGUAGUAACUGGCCUUUAUUUGACGGUAAUUACUUAGAAAGUCACGGCUAACUACGUGCCAGCAGCCGCGGUAAUACGUAGGUGGCAAGCGUUGUCCGGAUUUAUUGGGCGUAAAGCGAGUGCAGGCGGUUCAAUAAGUCUGAUGUGAAAGCCUUCGGCUCAACCGGAGAAUUGCAUCAGAAACUGUUGAACUUGAGUGCAGAAGAGGAGAGUGGAACUCCAUGUGUAGCGGUGGAAUGCGUAGAUAUAUGGAAGAACACCAGUGGCGAAGGCGGCUCUCUGGUCUGCAACUGAC